rnacentral:rRNA from 1 species
AAAUUGAAGAGUUUGAUCAUGGCUCAGAUUGAACGCUGGCGGCAGGCCUAACACAUGCAAGUCGAACGGUAACAGGAAGCAGCUUGCUGCUUCGCUGACGAGUGGCGGACGGGUGAGUAAUGUCUGGGAAGCUGCCUGAUGGAGGGGGAUAACUACUGGAAACGGUGGCUAAUACCGCAUAACGUCGCAAGACCAAAGAGGGGGACCUUCGGGCCUCUUGCCAUCAGAUGUGCCCAGAUGGGAUUAGCUUGUUGGUGAGGUAACGGCUCACCAAGGCGACGAUCCCUAGCUGGUCUGAGAGGAUGACCAGCCACACUGGAACUGAGACACGGUCCAGACUCCUACGGGAGGCAGCAGUGGGGAAUAUUGCACAAUGGGCGCAAGCCUGAUGCAGCCAUGCCGCGUGUAUGAAGAAGGCCUUCGGGUUGUAAAGUACUUUCAGCGGGGAGGAAGGUGUUGUGGUUAAUAACCGCAGCAAUUGACGUUACCCGCAGAAGAAGCA